rnacentral:rRNA from 1 species
GUGGGGAAUUUUGCGCAAUGGGCGAAAGCCUGACGCAGCAACGCCGCGUGGGUGAUGAAGGCUUUCGGGUCGUAAAGCCCUGUCGGAUGGAAAGAAACGGCUGGUGCUAAUACCACCAGUUUUGACGGUACCAUCAAAGGAAGUCACGGCUAACUCUGUGCCAGCAGCCGCGGUAAUACAGAGGUGACAAGCGUUGUUCGGAAUUAUUGGGCGUAAAGCGCGUGUAGGCGGUUUGUUAAGUCAGAUGUGAAAGCCCAGGGCUUAACCCUGGAAGUGCAUUUGAUACUGGCGAACUUGAGUACGGGAGAGGGUAGUGGAAUUCCGAGUGUAGAGGUGAAAUUCGUAGAUAUUCGGAGGAACACCGGUGGCGAAGGCGGCUACCUGGACCGAUACUGACGCUGAGACGCGAAAGCGUGGGGAGCAAACAGGAUUAGAAACCCCUGUAGUCC